GCUGACUGACGUGUGGGUGGGCUUCUCCCGGGCUGACUUAUAGCACACAAACAAACAAAUAAACUGCGGAUAUUACAGCCGACAGACAGACAGCCCUCUGGAGUAGACAGACAGACAGACCGACUGACAGCCCUCUGGAGGAGACCGACUCCUCUACAGAAGCGGACUGAACACCACUGUAACUCCAUGGAGCGAUGCUUUAGCGUCAGCGGCGACUGCACCGCCCCCUCCCUGGCUGGCCGCGCCCCCCCGGCCCCCCCGGCCCCCGCCCACCCGGUCUCCACGG